UUUAAAUUGCUGUAGUAUUUUGACUAUACAAAGGUAUUGAAAUAAGACUUUAAUUGAGUGCUAAGAGAAUGGACUUUCAAAAAAAUGCUUUCUUAAUUUUAAAAAUUGAAAUUAUUUUUUUUUGUGAAGAAACAACAAUAAAAAUUAAAGACAAGAAGACCCUAAGAAUUUUUAUAAAUUUAUUAUAUUAAUAUACAAUACAUUUAUUUAAUUGGGGCGAUUUGAAAAUAUUUAAAACUUUUUAAAAACUAAUAAGAUCCAUUAAUAAUGAUUUUAUGAAAAAAAUACUCUAGGGAUAACAGCGUAAUAAUUUUAGAUAGAUCUUAUAGAAAAAAUAGUUUGCGACCUCGAUGUUGGAUUAGGAUUCUUAUUUAAUGAAGAAGUAAAAAA
rnacentral:rRNA from 1 species